rnacentral:piRNA from 1 species
CCCUGGACCACUGGAAGAGCAAUUGAC